AGCUCCAAUAGCGUAUAUUAAAGUUGUUGCAGUUAAAAAGCUCGUAGUUGGAUUUCUGGCGGGAGCAGCCAGUCCUGCCUCUUGCGAGGUUGUGCACUAGCGCUGUAUCCGGCCAUCCUUGUGGAGAACGUUUCUGGCAUUAAGUUGUUGGUCUCGGGAUCUGCAUCGUUUACUGUGAAAAAAUUAGAGUGUUUAAAGCAGGCAUUUGCUUGAAUACAUUAGCAUGGAAUAAUAAGAUAGGACUUUGGUACUAUUUUGUUGGUUUGCGCACCAAGGUAAUGAUUAAUAGGGAUAGUUGGGGGUAUUCAUAUUUAAUUGUCAGAGGUGAAAUUCUUGGAUUUAUGAAAGAUGAACUUAUGCGAAAGCAUUUACCAUGGAUGUUUUCAUUA
rnacentral:rRNA from 1 species